AUCACUUUUUGGUCUUUUGGCUAAGAGCAAGUGUAGUAUCUGUUCUUAUCAGUUUAAUAAAGUUCAGCUAUAUCAACAGUUUACAUGAGACAAACUUCU
rnacentral:snRNA from 1 species